rfam:Brachypodium distachyon strain Bd21 chromosome 4, whole genome shotgun sequence.
CAAGUACUCCCUCCGUCCCGAAUUAACUGACGUAGAUUUGUAUAAGAAUCUAUAAAAAUCCACGUCAGUUAAUUCAGGACGGAGGGAGUACUAU